UACACACGUGCUACAAUGGUUGGUACAACGAGUUGCGAGUCGGUGACGGCGAGCUAAUCUCUUAAAGCCAAUCUCAGUUCGGAUUGUAGGCUGCAACUCGCCUACAUGAAGUCGGAAUCGCUAGUAAUCGCGGAUCAGCACGCCGCGGUCGAUACGUUCCGGCCUU
rnacentral:rRNA from 1 species